GCUAGCUGCAAUAGAAGCUGAUAUAGGUUACAGGAGAAAAUACUGAAUAUUUGAGAAAUUUACAUCGGAAGUUUAUAUCUCACAAUAUUAACCAAAUAAAGAAGUUAUACAGAAGAAAAUUAGUCAUGGAUAUUUUAAUUGUAUACUUGUUUUGCUAUGAUUCUAAAUAGUGUCUGGAUCGGCCGAUAUUGCGGUCUUGGCUGUCUGCUUAUAUCAAGUAUGGUCUGAUAUUUUGGUCAUAUCAGCCCCAGUAUUGAGCAUACCGACUGAUAUUCUGGUCAUAUCAGCCCCAAUAUUGAGCAUACCAGCUGAUAUUCUGGUUAUAUCACACUUUCUAAAGUCUACACCAAAUCUGCGAGCACUAUAUCUGAUAUUUGAAUCUUGAAAUUACCAUUAGAAAGGCAAAGAUAUCUUGUAGAAAAAUAGGUUACAUGCUCAGGUAUAUCAUAUAUGGAGAAAAGGCACCUAUCAGCUGUAUUGGUUCUUUCAUAUUUUUGUGCAGUCCUUCUAUUAAUUUUUUCAAACUUUCUGGGUUUAUAUUUGAGCAAGAUAAAUAUAUUCCAUCUCUAUCCCAGUACAGAAUUGAAGCUUCAUCAAAUCUAUCUGGGCGUUCAUUGCGUAAUACAGUGUUGAGAUUGAGAACAUUUUCAGAGGGGAACUUAAGGUAUCACCUAAUGACAUAAUAUUAGUCACUAUCCGUUGAUUGGUAAAUUUUGCUUUAGUAUACACCCCUUCGGGAUAUGGCUUUCAAUUCUAUACUUUUCCUUGAUUAUCAGUAUUGCUGCAAGGAUAAUAAUCAUUUUUAUUGCAAAGUACGUACUACAUUAGACAAAUCAGCAUGUUUUCCCAUAGAAAUACAUGUGGCGCGAAAGCAGCGACAGUCAUGUUUGAAAGCGUGUAAUAUAAGAGUAUGUAUCUUAGUUAUUUUGGCAUCUCCAUCCUUUACAUUAUAGGUUGUUUUGCAUAACUAACAAUGAGGUCUACAUAUGUAGAUUUGCAAGUUAAAUUCACCACACCUUUGAAACCCGUAGUUGUUUACUAUUCUCUUAAAUCUUUAAACUUUGUGCUUCAUUGCUUUAAUUUUAGAACUAGGAGGGUGCAGAUAAGUAAGAGUUCUUGGCAGCAGCAACCUACACAUGUGGAAGCAGUGGCUAUGGCGGUUCAAAGGGAAGUUGUGGCUGCUAGACAGCAAGUCACAGCUUAGUGGCGGCUCAAAGGACAUAUAAUCUAUUUCUUCUUGGCGCUAUCUACUAUCAUAUUAUGACUCGGUGCUAGCUGAAGCUUCUAUUUUCUCGCCUUUUGUGGUGGCGAUUAUUCCAUGGACUGCUGUAAUUCCAUUUGCUAUUCCUCAUGUUGCAACCUUUUCCCGUAGAAUCGAAAAGAAUUAGAUGGAAGAAAUUGCAGGAGGAAUGGUAUUCUCGUCUAACAUUCAAAAGCAGUCAAGAUGGUGAAGUUUAGAACGGAGGAGCUCUGCGGAAUUAUGGAUAAAAAAUAUCCAUAACAUGUCUGUCAUUGCUCAUGUCGACCACGGUAUGUGACGGAGCAGUGACAAUUGUCUCUAAUUGUCAAGUUUAUAUGGUAGAAUCUUCUUGAUUGAUGAUUUUGUAGCCUUCUCUUAGUUGUACUAUAUUGAUUCUUAAAACUGGAUCAUUUAAAAUUAGUUAGAUUUAAUGAGUUGUUUCACUGUUUUCAAAUAAGUAGUUUAAGCCCUUAUUGUGUCCCAGAGCUUAUUCUUUCUGCCUUUUUAUGAUUGAUAUAUGCUCUAACAAGCUUAAAUUUAACUAUUGGCAUAUAAUCUCAUGGCUCAAAAUCUUAGUUGUUGAAUAUAUUAAAAUUUAUAAGAUCUGGAGUUUGCACUAUAUUUCAUCCUGCGGUAUUCCCAGUAACUGAAUAUUAAGAGCACCGACGAUCCCAGGUUGUACAUUUGGGAAAUGCUUUUAUCUUGCAGGCCAGUUUUACAUUUACUUCUUUAAUAAGGAGAUGACCAUGAACAGAGUAUCAUGGUAUUUGCCUUGGCAUUACUGACGUUGUGUUCAGAUUACUGAAAGAAGGAUUGGUAGCCGCAAAGGAGUGAAGGGUAGAAAAUAUGUCCAUUGUCCUUGAAUUGGUGGGAUUGUCCCCAAGUUAGUGCUGCAGAUGUUUCUAUUUUAGAGCAAGAAGCCAAAUCAUGUUGUUCAUUGUAAAUCUUGAAAAACUUGUUUAUUGUCACUUCUAUAUCUGUUGUAAACGUUUGUUCGUGAUGUGGUACUUGUCAA